rnacentral:rRNA from 1 species
AGCUUGCUCUGUGGGAUCAGUGGCGAACGGGUGAGUAACACGUGAGCAACCUGCCCCUGACUCUGGGAUAAGCGCUGGAAACGGCGUCUAAUACUGGAUAUGUGACGUGACCGCAUGGUCUGCGUCUGGAAAGAAUUUCGGUUGGGGAUGGGCUCGCGGCCUAUCAGCUUGUUGGUGAGGUAAUGGCUCACCAAGGCGUCGACGGGUAGCCGGCCUGAGAGGGUGACCGGCCACACUGGGACUGAGACACGGCCCAGACUCCUACGGGAGGCAGCAGUGGGGAAUAUUGCACAAUGGGCGCAAGCCUGAUGCAGCAACGCCGCGUGAGGGACGACGGCCUUCGGGUUGUAAACCUCUUUUAGCAGGGAAGAAGCGAAAGUGACGGUACCUGCAGAAAAAGCGCCGGCUAACUACGUGCCAGCAGCCGCGGU